UUUCUCGCAGCGCAGUUGUUUGGGAAUGCANCUCAAAAUGGGUGGUAAAUGCCAUCUAAGGCUAAAUAUUGGGGAGAGACCGAUAGCGAACAAGUACAGUGAUGGAAAGAUGAAAAGAACUUUGAAAAGAGAGUUAAACAGUACGUGAAAUUGCCAAAAGGGAAGGGUAGGAGGUCAGAGAUGCGGCCUGGGAUUCAGCCUUGCUUUUGCUUGGUGUUUUUCCCAGAUUGCAGGCCAACGUCGGUUUUGGGCACUGGAGAAGGGUAGGAGGAACGUGGCACCUCUCGGGGUGUGUUAUAGCCUCCUACUGGAUACAGCGACCGAGACCGAGGACAGCAGCGUACUCGCAAGAGCGGGCCUUCGGGCACCUUUACGCUU
rnacentral:rRNA from 1 species